UGCGGAGUAUUAUAUUCGCUCUUCCUAAAAAGAAAUUUCAUCCUCAAAAUUUUUCUUACCUAGAUCCUCAAAAAUUCAAGAUUACUUUAACCUCAAAUAAUGUCAUCCUCUAAUUUUAAAAUUUAAUCUUUCAUCAUAAUAUCUUUCAAAUCAAAUUACUAUUCUAACUAGUUUAAAAAUUAAUUCAGACCACUAUGCUUUUACUGUAUACUCUGAUUCAAAUUCAUCAAUGUACUUAUAUUAAAUCUAAGUUUUUAAGUUAUGUC
rnacentral:lncRNA from 1 species